rnacentral:misc_RNA from 1 species
UACACCAGGAAGUUUCGCAGCAUGAAUACGCCAAGGGCACUCCUCACUGGCACAUUUAGCAGUAAAACGAGUUUUAUCAGAUUUUAUGGUCUGAAUCUCAAAGUGAAGAGCAAUGGCUGUGUCCCGUAAGGCCCUUCGACAGCUUUUGACAUCAGGGAAUUCUUGUCCCACAUGCAACUCAAAAUCAGGUGUUGUUGACAUAGUUCGAGCCUGAAGCACAUGAGUUGACGAAGCAAGAACCAUCUGGCCAUCAUGGAGUUCAUAUUCAUGUGCAGGUUCAACACCCAUAUCAUGACUCUCAACAACAGCUAAUUCCAGGUUAUCAUCAAGUUCUUGGUUUUCCUCGAUCCCCAACUCAUCAUGUUCAGAAAUAUCUAGCUCAUUGUUUUCAGUAGGCAACUCCUGGUUUUCAUGCUCGGGCUUCUGCUCCAUAGAUAAACCAUUCUCGUGAUCAUACUCAUGCUCAUGAUUCCCCUCAUGAUCUUGGCUCUGCCCUAUACCCAUCUCAUGCUCAUGGUUAUGGUUCUGCGCUAGUUCCAGUUCAUGGUUAUGAUUCUGCGCUAG